UGGAGCGGCGCGCUCAUUAUGUCCGCAAACACCGAAUGCACUUCCAGAGGAAAAAUAACCAGUCCAAAUUAAAUUACACUAAAACGGCCCGCUUCUUUAAAGCUCAGAAGAAACUGGCCGAUUUGACGGGAUUUUAGAAAAAAAAAAAUAGACCUAUGAAAAAAUGACUUCGGAGGAAUGUUUCUCUAAACAGUCGGAAAAAAAAUCAAUUUAUAAAACAGACUGAUUGUGGUCAAUUGGUGCCCUCCAAAAUAGUGGAAAAUGCGUGAGUGUUUAUUUUUACUUUGUUACACCUUUGGAAGUUUAGUAAAAGGCGACAACCACCCCCCACAAAAAAAAAAAAAAAAAAAUAGAAAGGGAAAAGGUCCUGCAAUUGAACUGCCAGAGAACUUCGACAUGCCAUCGAGCUGUCCAGAGUGUGCCAUUCUUCAGCGAACAUGAUGGUCAUCAGGAAGAGAACAGAAAUUUUCUGACACCUGUCAAAAAUUAACAGGACGUUUUGAGAAGUGGCUACAUUUGGAAGCCGGUUGAAAGAAUGCCGAAAGUCUACAAUGCCAUCAUCAAAGCAAAAGGGAGCUAUUCGGAGAAGUCCUACAUUUGAGGAAAUUUUGAGAUGUUGAACACCUCUUGGUUGAUGCAGUAUUUGACAUGUAUUACUU